rnacentral:rRNA from 1 species
CGAAGGAACUCGGCAAAUUGACACCGUAACUUCGGAAGAAGGUGUGCCCUAUUAGUGUGUAGUGAACAACGAAGCAUGAAUGGGUUGCAAAAAAUCGGUGGCUGCGACUGUUUAUUAAAAACACAGCACUCUGCAAACACGAAAGUGGACGUAUAGGGUGUGACGCCUGCCCGGUGCUGGAAGAUUAAAUGAUGGGGUGCAAGCUCUUGAUUGAAGUCCCAGUAAACGGCGGCCGUAACAAUAACGGUCCUAAGGUAGCGAAAUUCCUUGUCGGGUAAGUUCCGACCUGCACGAAUGGCGUAACGAUGGCCACACUGUCUCCUCCUGAGACUCAGCGAAGUUGAAAUGUUUGUGAUGAUGCAAUCUCCCCGCGGAAAGACGGAAAGACCCCAUGAACCUUUACUGUAGCUUUGUAUUGGACUUUGAACAGAUCUGUGUAGUAUAGGUGGGAGGCUUUGAAGCAGGGUCGCUAGAUCUUGUGGAGCCAACGUUGAAAUACCACCCUGGUGUGUUUGAGGUUCUAACCUAGGUCCAUUAUCUGGAUCGGGGACAGUGCAUGGUAGGCAGUUUGACUGGGGCGGUCUCCUCCCAAAGCGUAACGGAGGAGUUCGAAGGUACGCUAGUUACGGUCGGACAUCGUGACGAUAGUGCAAUGGCAUAAGCGUGCUUAACUGCGAGACUGACAAGUCGAGCAGAUGCGAAAGCAGGACAUAGUGAUCCGGUGGUUCUGUAUGGAAGGGCCAUCGCUCAACGGAUAAAAGGUACUCUGGGGAUAACAGGCUGAUACCGCCCAAGAGUUCAUAUCGACGGCGGUGUUUGGCACCUCGAUGUCGGCUCAUCUCAUCCUGGGGCUGUAGCCGGUCCCAAGGGUAUGGCUGUUCGCCAUUUAAAGAGGUACGUGAGCUGGGUUUAAAACGUCGUGAGACAGUUUGGUCCCUAUCUGCCGUGGGCGUUGGAUACUUGACGGAGCCUGCUCCUAGUACGAGAGGACCGGAGUGGACGUACCUCUGGUGUACCGGUUGUCAUGCCAAUGGCAUUGCCGGGUAGCUAUGUACGGAAGAGAUAACCGCUGAAGGCAUCUAAGCGGGAAACUCGUCUGAAGAUUAGGUAUCCCGGGGCCUCGAGCCCCCUGAAGGGUCGUUCAAGACCAGGACGUUGAUAGGUCAGGUGUGGAAGCGCAGUAAUGCGUUAAGCUAACUGAUACUAAUUGCCCGUGAGGCUUGAUCCU